UACGGGGGGGGCAAGCGUUGUUCGGAAUUACUGGGCGUAAAGGGUCUGUAGGUGGCCAACUAAGCCAGACGUGAAAUCCCUCAGCUUAACUGGGGAACUGCGUCUGGGACUGGAUGGCUUGAGUGCAGGAGAGGAACGCGGAAUUCCAGGUGUAGCGGUGAAAUGCGUAGAUAUCUGGAGGAACACCGGUGGCGAAGGCGGCGUUCUGGACUGCAACUGACACUGAGAGACGAAAGCCAGGGGAGCAAACGGG
rnacentral:rRNA from 1 species